ensembl:ncRNA lncRNA:CR45977 long non-coding RNA:CR45977
AGCUUAAAACAAUAAGUGUUGCUGGCCAACCGAAAGCGGUAAAUUGGAAGGCAAAUCAGUUAAAAUAAUAACAAUGGGAUGGCUGCAACAAUGACGCCGGUGGUAACAGCAACAACACAAAGAUAAACAACUCAUUAAAAGGAAAUUAAACAGCCGUGAACCAAAACGAACACCAUGUCACGACCCGUCACUCAUACGCACUGUUGUCUGGCCGUACGUGAGUGACGUUUCGCGGUUUGAUAAAGACACUCGUUACGCCUCCAGAAAAAAAAGGAAUUUCACCAAAAGGAAAUUGAAUAAGGGCAUUGAUAUGUAAAGCACUUUGGUCGAAAUGCAAAAUUUAAAUGACUUUAUCGUCUAUAAAUAAAUGGAAAUACAUUUUAUUUUAAUAUAGCACUUCU